UUGUUACAGCCUCCUUCAGUGGCUUCCAUUGGUUUUAUGCAGUAAACCUUUUUGGUUAUCAUCUUUUCCAUUUUUAUUUUUAUUGUUCUUUAUACAAUUUGAUUGAAUAUGCCCAAACUCGCUGCAGUUAUAACACUGUAAAUCCUUCAAUCAUACUAAGGAGAUCUGUUAAACUUUUCCUCAGGGUUCAUUCGCUUCAGCGGACUAGGCCCUGGCAACUUAGGUUGUCUAAUAUUUCGUCUGUCUUUUUUGGUGAAAAGGCUGACUCCAUCAAAUGAAAACAAGUAGAAGCAAGGCGAAUGGAGAGCUCGUCAUGAGAUGAAAUCUUAGCGGUGGCAAAAAGGAACUGAGGGGAUCGCCAGAAGGGGAGAACCAUGUGUACUAGUGGGGUGGUCCUGGUGAGCACGUGAUAAAGCUCUAGAAUAAUCCGGAAACCUCUGUGCAAGCGCAGAUUAAACCCUAUAGUGUGUAUUCACAGAGACCACAAAGAAGAACCUGUUGCUCUAAUCAUAUCAAGAAGGGAUUGCUAUUCAUGAAGCACUUCCACAGACACAUUACACAACAGACAGCUACGUAGGCUUUCUCAGUCAAAGUUGGCUGAAGAUAUGAGUGAGACAAAUUUGGAACAGCAGAAAUACAAAAACCAAAAGUCACAGACAGAUUCUGGACUACACUAUAAAGUAAUAUUUACUGGAACUAUGAAGCA